GACGUAGGGUCCGAGCGUUGUCCGGAGUUACUGGGCGUAAAGGGCGCGUAGGCGGCUUUGUGCGUCACCCGUGAAAGCCCCCGGCUCAACCGUGGAACGGCUGGGUAUACUGCCUGUCUUGAGCCAACUAGGGGCGAGCGGAACAGACGGUGGAGCGGUGAAAUGCGUAGAUAUCGUCUGGAACGCCAAAGGUGAAAACAGCUCGCUGGGGUUGUGCUGACGCUGAGACACGAAAGCCAGGGGAGCGAACGGG
rnacentral:rRNA from 1 species